rnacentral:rRNA from 1 species
UGAACGCUAGCUACAGGCUUAACACAUGCAAGUCGAGGGGCAGCAUUUCAGUUUGCUUGCAAACUGGAGAUGGCGACCGGCGCACGGGUGAGUAACACGUAUCCAACCUGCCGAUAACUCGGGGAUAGCCUUUCGAAAGAAAGAUUAAUACCCGAUGGUAUAAUCAGACCGCAUGGUCUUGUUAUUAAAGAAUUUCGGUUAUCGAUGGGGAUGCGUUCCAUUAGGCAGUUGGUGAGGUAACGGCUCACCAAACCUUCGAUGGAUAGGGGUUCUGAGAGGAAGGUCCCCCACAUUGGAACUGAGACACGGUCCAAACUCCUACGGGAGGCAGCAGUGAGGAAUAUUGGUCAAUGGGCGCAGGCCUGAACCAGCCAAGUAGCGUGAAGGAUGACUGCCCUAUGGGUUGUAAACUUCUUUUAUAUGGGAAUAAAGUUUUCCACGUGUGGAAUUUUGUAUGUACCAUAUGAAUAAGGAUCGGCUAACUCCGUGCCAGCAGCCGCGGUAAUACGGAGGAUCCGAGCGUUAUCCGGAUUUAUUGGGUUUAAAGGGAGCGUAGGUGGACAGUUAAGUCAGUUGUGAAAGUUUGCGGCUCAACCGUAAAAUUGCAGUUGAUACUGGCUGUCUUGAGUACAGUAGAGGUGGGCGGAAUUCGUGGUGUAGCGGUGAAAUGCUUAGAUAUCACGAAGAACUCCGAUUGCGAAGGCAGCUCACUGGACUGCAACUGACACUGAUGCUCGAAAGUGUGGGUAUCAAACAGG